rnacentral:rRNA from 1 species
UACGUAGGGGGCAAGCGUUGUCCGGAAUCAUUGGGCGUAAAGAGCGUGUAGGCGGUCCAGUAAGUCCGCUGUGAAAGUCAAGGGCUCAACCCUUGAAAGCCGGUGGAUACUGCUGGACUAGAGUCCGGAAGAGGCGAGUGGAAUUCCUGGUGUAGCGGUGAAAUGCGCAGAUAUCAGGAGGAACACCAAUAGCGAAGGCAGCUCGCUGGGACGUUACUGACACUGAGGCGCGAAAGCGUGGGGAGCGAACAGG